CACUCCUACGGGAGGCAGCAGUGGGGAAUUUUGGACAAUGGGCGAAAGCCUGAUCCAGCCAUGCCGCGUGCAGGAUGAAGGCCUUCGGGUUGUAAACUGCUUUUGUACGGAACGAAACGGCCUUUUCUAAUAAAGAGGGCUAAUGACGGUACCGUAAGAAUAAGCCCCGGCUAACUACGUGCCAGCAGCCGCGGUAAUACGUAGGGUGCAAGCGUUAAUCGGAAUUACUGGGCGUAAAGCGUGCGCAGGCGGUUAUGUAAGACAGUUGUGAAAUCCCCGGGCUCAACCUGGGAACUGCAUCUGUGACUGCAUAGCUAGAGUACGGUAGAGGGGGAUGGAAUUCCGCGUGUAGCAGUGAAAUGCGUAGAUAUGCGGAGGAACACCGAUGGCGAAGGCAAUCCCCUGGACCUGUACUGACGCUCAUGCACGAAAGCGUGGGGAGCAAACAGGAUUAGAAACCCUAGUAGUCCC
rnacentral:rRNA from 1 species